AUUGAACGCUGGCGGCAUGCUUUACACAUGCAAGUCGAACGGUAACAGGGUGCUUGCACCGCUGACGAGUGGCGAACGGGUGAGUAAUGCGUCGGAACGUGCCGAGCAGUGGGGGAUAACGCAGCGAAAGUUGUGCUAAUACCGCAUACGUACUGAGGUAGAAAGUGGGGGACCUUCGGGCCUCGCGCUAUUCGAGCGGCCGACGUCUGCUUAGCUAGUAGGUGAGGUAAAGGCGCACCGAGGCGACGAUCAGUAGCGGGUCUGAGAGGAUGAUCCGCCACACGCGGACUGAGACCCGGCCCAGACUCCUACGGGAGGCAGCAGUGGGGAAUUUUGGACAAUGGGCGAAAGCCUGAUCCAGCCAUGCCGCGUGUCUGAAGAAGGCCUUCGGGUUGUAAAGGACUUUUGUCGGGGAGGAAAUCCCCAGCGUUAAUACCGCUGGGGGAUGACAGUACCUGAAGAAUAAGCACCGGCUAACUACGUGCCAGCCGCCGCGGUAAGAC
rnacentral:rRNA from 1 species